rnacentral:tRNA from 1 species
AGCAGAGGACUGAAAAUCCUCGUGUCAA